ACAGGAAUAGCAGAAUGGCAUAUGCCGGAGUUUCAAAAUCUCUGUGAUCUAUGGGUUCGAAUUCCAUUUCCUGUA
rnacentral:tRNA from 1 species